UUUGUUUUGGGUUUCUGUGGUUUUGGUUUCGUUUGCUCUCUCUCCCUUCUUCUCUGUUGUUCUCUCUACCAGAAACCCUUCGUUCUCCAUUUGCCGUUAUCGUCCAACUCCGAUUUAGCUACCCUUCGUGAACUCCAUCUACUUUAACUUCCCUGCAUAUCUUUCUCUCCGAAGCUCCAAAUUCUUGGUCAAAUAGAACAUCGAACUCCUAGGUGGUCACCAGCUCCAGUUCGAGGUCGAGAAGCACUCGGUCACCGACGUUCCCGACGCCAAGAUUUCGUAAGGUCUCAAUAUCGAAGAAGAUUUCUUAUGCUCUUUGUCAACGAUGACGACCUGACGCAGAUUCUGUCCCGAUUUGAAGAAAAUUCUUCAAGUGGCUAUGAAUUCACGAUCACCAGCAAUAAUCUCAUCAAGGUCCCAGGAGGAAUCACGAGAAUUCACUAUCGAAUUGCAUGGUGUUAAAUAUAGUUUCCCAGCUGUAAUCGUUUUGAAUUGGCGCUUAACGAAGCUGUUAUUUUGUCUUCGUAAUCAAAUGCUUCGUAUUACUGUCUGAUUUUGUUCUUCUUCACUUUCAAGAACCACCGCUGUUUAUUGAAGAUCUUACCAGCAUAUUUAAAGUGUUCUCACCACAACUUCUGCUAUAUCCCAAUCCCUCUGACCCUUUAAACAGAGAGGUUACAACUUUAAUGAUGAGUUACCGAGUUGUUUAUCAACAAAGAGUUAAAGAAUUACAAGAAGGAUUACAAAAAAUCACCUAAUGCUUUGGAAAAAUCCCUUGGUGAUUCUAUUUGGUAAGCUUUAAAAAGCCUCAUCUUUUUAUUGCUUGGUUAUUUUCCCCUUAAUAUGCAUUUGUCCUGUUUGUACGUUUGAUACAAAUCUGUCUUCUUAUUAUUUUACUGUCAUCUGUGAGGAUUGUUUUUUGCUACUUCCGUAAUGUUUUGCAGUAUGCAUACAUAGAUGACAGAUUUCAUAUCACCUACAUGCCUCCAACUAUGGCACAUCGGUGAUGUGUUGCUUGCCUCCGCUUCUGAUCAGCAGCAGUCUUCUUCCGUUGUUGCCAAGUUGGUUCUCUCUUUUGACCCUAUUGCCGAGGUCAGAGAGGUACGUUUCUUUUUCUUCUUCUUCUUUGUACAUUUAUAUAUAUAUAUAUAUAUAUACACUCACAUUGAAUUGUCAUCGUUUUGGCGUUUUGGGUUUUAUGUUCUUCCAUGCAUUGUCGUUUCGGGCCGUGAUCUUUGUUUGUUUCUUAAUCUUUUACUUUUUUUAUCCUGAUUUCUCGGUUAUGGGUGAAGCAGAAAAAUAUCGUUCGUAAAUUAUUAUUUCAAUUAUUGGAAUUAUAUGAGGAUUUAAAUGAUUAUGGUUAAAUGGGUAAAUGAGUAUGGUUAAAUGGAUACACGGUUAUGAGUAUGGAUAACCGUUUAUAAACGGUUAUGGUUCUGAGUAUGACCAUUUAUAUAAUUACCCAACGGGUAAAUGGUUAUGCGGGUAUGAACAUAAACGGUCAUGGAUAAAUAACCGUGGUUACCCGUCCGCUAUAACAGUUGUCCAUCCCUAGUUGUGAUGAAUACUUAUUUUAACAAACUUAUCAAAUUUUGGAUACUUUAUGAAUUUAAGAUCAUCAGUUUUAGUACGUAUAUUUUUUGAAAUUGUAAUGAAUUUGCAAAUUUUUCAACUGUAUCUUACAUUUAUGGUUCCAAAUUCACCUUACCCAUAACUAUUGAAUUUUGUCUCUCGAUUGGAUCAAUUUUUAUAGUUUCCACAAUCUACCGUUGCAAUGCCUUUGAUGGAUAAAGCACAGACGACCCAACUACUCUUAUACAGCUUCUUUAGCAUCUUAAGUUAAAAUUCCAUAUCAUUUUUUUGCUUCACAGAUUUCAUUAUGUUAACAGCAUACCAAUUAUGUGAUAGCAAUUGUUAUCCUAGCAGUUUCUAACAAUUGGUAAAAAACGCAUAAAUGUGUGCAAGUUUGAAUUAUUCAUACGAAACUUUCAUAUAUUA